rnacentral:rRNA from 1 species
UACGUAGGGUGCAAGCGUUGUCCGGAAUUAUUGGGCGUAAAGAGCUCGUAGGCGGUCUGUCGCGUCGGCUGUGAAAACUCGGGGCUCAACCCCGAGCCUGCAGUCGAUACGGGCAGACUAGAGUGCUGUAGGGGAGACUGGAAUUCCUGGUGGUAGCGGUGAAAUGCGCAGAUAUCAGGAGGAACACCGGUGGCGAAGGCGGCAUCCUGGACCAUGACUGACGCUGAGGAGCGAAAGCCAGGGGAGCAAACGGG